GAAAACUUAUUCAAAUACUGUGAGCCUCCACUGUCCCAAACUGUAAAGGAGGGAUAGGAAAGUCACAGGACUACUGCAGAAACAAGUGUGAGUAGAUCACCAGAGGGUCAAUUAAUUCUCUUCCUUUUCCUCUUCUGUAGAAGGAAAACAAACCUUCAAAGGAAGAAAUGCAAGUGCUUCCCCACCACACCAUGUACACUCAGGCACUCCAGGAGUUAAAUCUGUCAAAUGUGUCAUGGUUAAAUCUUAUGGCCUUAGUUACUAAACAGACACAUUUGAUAUCUUCCACCUCUUUUUCCCCAGGUUUCUGAAGAACAUUGCACAGAAACAGGAAGACAGCCCAAUGCAGGUCAUCCUAAGAAAGAGAGUGGGAGCAAGGGCCCAGGUGGAGAAGAAGAGGUGAAGGAAAGCCUGCUUACCUACCUACCUAAUCAGCCCCGUCAGGCGCCACUGUACUCUGAGCAAAGACAACAUCUAUGCAAAGCUGCUCUGAGGGCAGUGUGGCAGACUGGCAGCUCCCACUCUGCCAGCCUGUCCUUCAUCUUCAGCUCUUCAGAGCUGCUGUCUCGAACCCACCAUCAACGCAGCUACUAGUGUCCUCAGUCUCCAUAGCUUCCAUCCCCCGUCCACCCCACGCCACCCCUAAGCGCGACCGGAUAAAAAUGGCAAGUGGGUAAAAAGAAAAUGAGCCCCGUACAUCCUUGCAGCCGGUGUUCACUGGGAUUCUUCUGCAGGCCCCGCCCUGCAGCUACUGGCAGCCGCCACCACCCCGGACCCAGUAGAUAGGCUCUGAAAAGGCUUUCCUGAGCUUUGGGUUCGGAGGUUGAACUGGAGACGGGCACACACACACGCACACACACACGUAUGGGGUCUUCGACUCCUAAAGAGCAAGAUGCGAGGACACCUUGGAAUUAACAGGUAAUAGAUCAAGAAUUUAAAAGUGGAGGCCAGAAUGUUUGAAUGCACAGAUUUCCUGCUGGCGUCAACAGUGAACAGAACUAAGAGAGGAAGCAUAAAUGCAACAAUACACUUCUUUCUGAAUUGCCUUUCAAAAGGGGUCAACCUCUUUCUUCAGUCACUCCUAUCAUUGUCCAAUGGGCUCAUGAACAAAGUGACCAUGGUGGCAGAGAUGGAGGUUAUGCCUGGGCUCAACAACAUGGACUCCCACUCACCAAAGCUAAUCUGGCUACAGCCACUGCUGAAUGCCCAAUAUGCUAGCAGCAGAGGUCAGUAUUGAGUCACCAACUUGGCAGCAGGUUGAUUAUGCUGAAUUGCUUCCAUAUUGCAAAGGACAGUGCUUUGUGCUUACUGGCAGAGACACUUAUUCUGGAUAUGGACUUGCCUUCCCUGUAUGUGAUGUUUCUGCCAAAUCCACCAUCCAUGAACUUACAGAAUGCCUUAUCCACCAUCAUGGAAUAAGAAACACAUUUUACAGCCAGAGAAAUCAGGCAGUGGGCUCAUGCUCAUGGAAUUCAUUGGUCUUACCAU